ensembl:lncRNA
GUGAUGUUUCUCCUAAUUUGUGUAUUAUGUUGUGUUGUGGAGUCUUGAUGCACUGGGCUUUUUGCACGCUGGUGUGGUUUUUGGUGCUUGCACUUCUCACUUUGUACUGUUUGAUUGAUUGAUUGCUGCUAUUUUACUCUGACUGUUUUUCCUAUUUUCUUUCUUUCCAGGAUAUCUUGUUCUCUGUGGCAGCAUGGCAUUCUUCAGUUUGUCAGGUGAAGCGGGAGUGCUGUCUGUUGGUUUGUAGUUUCAGCAGGUGCGUUGCAAACUGGAGUUUGUGAGGUAGGUGUUGCCAGAGGUUUGUGAUGUGCUCAUUUCCUUUGCAAGAGGGGGGCAAUUGUUUUUAAGUAGACAUAAGGCUGUUGUUUGAGUUGAUAUAGAUUAGCAACAUGUCUUGAUUGUUGUCUGCAUCCCUGCAGUGAGUUGAGUAGUCAGCAGCUUUUUGGGCUUGGAAGUAGGGAUGUUGUUUUCAGAUUGGAGCUGUACAGGGCGUAUUUGUGGAAGAGGGGCAAGCUUAUAUGUGCUGGGUUCAGUUCUUAACAUUUUCUGUGUUGGACAGACCGUCAUUCAGAAGUGUGGCAUUCCUGUGGGGGUUAAGAAGCACACUGUGAAGUUUACAGUUCUUCAGGUUUGGGGUGGAGUUCCUUCCUGUGCUGGCUGAGAUCUGUGCUUUCCUGGAUUUUAGUUGUGUGUUCUAUAUGAGCAGUAUUGGGCUUUUUUUUUUUUUUAAUUUUUGUGGAUUCUUUGUUGUAUAGCAUGUUUUCCUAUGUUUACUGUGCUUAUGAGAUUUUGUAAUUUUGCUGUAUGUACAUAAUAUGUAUUGGAGCAUGUAAAGGAUUUUUUUGGAUAUAUACGGACUAUGUCUUGUUUUUAUGGUAUUUUUGCCUGGUAGUAAAAAAUACAAACUGUUAAAUAGGCUUGAAUGUGAUAUUUUGGAGUUGCAUUUUUACACAGAAACAUGUGUUAGAAAGGUAUUUGUUGACCUGAAUUUAAUGGGAUUCCUACAAUUGUAAGCUGUGCUUUGCAUUGUAUUUUCAGUCUCUGUCCUGCGUCUGUACAGCAUUUGUUGAUGUGGAAUGAAUAUUUGCAUGUUGUGUACUUGAAAAGCAAGUUUGGACCUC